CGCGGGGUGGAGCAGCUCGGUAGCUCGCUGAGCUCAUAACCCAGAGGUCGCAGGUUCAAAUCCUGUCCCCGCUA
rnacentral:tRNA from 1 species